rnacentral:rRNA from 1 species
UCGGGAAUUUUGGGCAAUGGGGGAAAUCCUGACCCAGCAACGCCGCGUGAAGGAUGAAGUAUUUCGGUAUGUAAACUUCGAAAGAAUAGGAAGAAUAAAUGACGGUACUAUUUGUAAGGUCCGGCUAACUACGUGCCAGCAGCCGCGGUAAUACGUAGGGACCAAGCGUUGUUCGGAUUUACUGGGCGUAAAGGGCGCGUAGGCGGUUUGUCAAGUCAGUUGUGAAAUCUCCGAGCUUAACUCGGAACGGUCAACUGAUACUGUCAAACUAGAGUACAGAAGGGGCAAUCGGAAUUCUUGGUGUAGCGGUGAAAUGCGUAGAUAUCAAGAGGAACACCUGAGGCGAAGGCGGGUUGCUGGGCUGAUACUGACGCUGAAGCGCGAAAGCUAGGGUAGCAAACGGGAUUAGAUACCCCAGUAGUCCCUGAGCGGGCUGGCAAGGCGCAU